UCUUUUCUUCUGGGGAGAGAGGAGACAUGGGAAUGUGAGAGGACAGCAGGACUUUCAAGAGGGGAGUUCAUAGACAUAUCAAAAGUUCCUGAAAGAUUUCUCUGGUGGCGCUGUCACUUGGUGUUCGCUCGCUUUGUGUGUGGGAGUCUCAACAUUUCUUACCCCUGGUGUCCAAAACGCUACGUUUCUGUUAUCCUGUGAAAGAGAACAUUCAGAAACCAAGGCUGUUUUUUAUUCCUAGUUGUCACAGAGAGCAACGUAAAGCCGCUUCUUGGACCAUAUGCAUGAAUACUGCUUCUACUUUUGUUAUAUUGUCUCUUUGUAUUUAAUGGCACAAGAAUUGCAUAUUAAAACAAACUACAGCUUCACACUUGAGGAGAAAGAAUAUUUCAAACCAUUAUUUUACACUGAUCCAGCAGCUUCAUGGGCCUAAUUUUUAUCCUCGUCAGGCUGGAGAUCCUCGACAGCUGAGGGAAGCUGAAUGUUUUACAGAUUCAAAGAGUAAACUCUGGGGAUGCGGAAGCCAUUAAACGAGCCAUUAUUGGACACGGACAAAACAGUAUAAACAGCGGUUGCAAAACAUAGAAAGAAAACAUUUAGUAAAGGUUUUGCAGUCAAUUUUUACUGCUCUGUUGCAGUGCUGCAGAAGUGACCUCUUUCUUGUUAGAUGUAAAUGUCAUUACAGAUGGCUGACAUUCAGUAAAAGGACAGAGCAGAAGCUGACAAACUGACAAAAGAAGCAAACGGGGAACGUGCUCUUCACAGCGCAGCAGAGAAGAUUCUAGUUCUUUAAGCCAGAACCCUCAACUCCCUCAAGCCUCCGGGUGCUGUGUGUGAAGGGAAUGAGAUGCACUGUACUUAAUUAAGAAACAAGCUUCUGAUUAAUAGAUUCAAAGCAACAAAGAUGAAGUGCCCAGACAGGGAUAAACAGAGAAGACAGAAGUGCAGCUGGCUGCUUGAUCACAGAACAUGACGUGAUUAUAAAAAAGUGAAAAGAAUCAGUUUUACAGGAUAUCGCUUCAGUUCUCACUGCAAUAAAAAAAAAACACCAAAAAACAUCAUGCUCAUUCAUUCACUUUUAACAAAAGGUCAGUUGUUUAUUCGAGUAUUACAGUUUUCAUGCAGUACAGUGCUCCGUGCGUGGUUGUGCACUCUUGCAUGAAAGGUGAUUUUUUCCAAAUGGCCU